rnacentral:sRNA from 1 species
CAGGUGGCAGAGGGCAGGGUGCUGGCAGAAUUGGGAACACCUGGAGGGGACAUAAGGUGGGGGUGGAGUCCUUUUCUGCCUUCACGUGGUUAUCCACUCGCUCUCUUCCCAUAGAGCCUGUCUUCCACCGUGACCCUUGAACACUCUUCACUCCCUCCUGGGGUCCACAUUUCUUACGAAUCCCAGUGUGAGGGUCCUGAGAAGAGGGAGGGUAAGGCUGAGGAUCGAGGACAGUGCAACCACGUCCGAAUCAACCAGACGGUGACUUUCUGGGUUUCUCUCCAAGCCACCCACUGCCUCCCAGAGCCCCAUCUCCUGAGGCUCCGGGCCCUUGGCUUCUCAGAGGAGCUGAUUGUGGAGUUGCACACGCUGUGUGACUGUAAUUGCAGUGACACCCAGCCCCAGGCUCCCCACUGCAGUGAUGGCCAGGGACACCUACAAUGUGGUGUAUGCAGGUGAGGGCCUCCUCUUCCCUUCACCCACCUG